AAAGAGUGCAGUUACACUGUUUAUGUUCAACAUUUAACCAUCCAUCUUAUUUGAAAUUUUUUUAUAAUUAGUAAUUAUAUUGUUAUUAGAUGAUAAAACAUCUAUUGUACUGACUUUCUUUUUAAUUUUUUUAUAAAUUUUUCAAAUAAGAUGAACGGUCAAACGAAAUAUACGGCUACAGUUAAA
rnacentral:pre_miRNA from 1 species